rnacentral:rRNA from 1 species
CCUACGGGGGGCAGCAGUGGGGAAUAUUGCGCAAUGGGCGAAAGCCUGACGCAGCGACGCCGCGUGCGGGAUGAAGGUCUUCGGAUCGGAAACCUCUGUCAGCAGGGAAGUACGGUCACUGUGCUAAUCAGCAGUGAAUUGACGGUACCUGCAAAGGAAGCACCGGCUAACUCCGUGCCAGCAGCCGCGGUAAUACGGAGGGUGCGAGCGUUAAUCGGAAUUACUGGGCGUAAAGCGCUCGUAGGCGGUAUGUCAAGUCAAGGGUGAAGUCCCCGCGCUCAACGUGGGAACUGCCUUUGAAACUGGCAAACUGGAGAGUGUGUGAGGAAAGUGGAAUGCAAGGUGUAGGAGUGAAAUCCGUAGAGAUCUGGAGGAACAUCAGUGGCGAAGGCGACUAUCUGGCACAUAACUGACGCUGAGGAGCGAAAGCGUGGGUAGCAAACAGGAUUAGAUACCCGUGUAGUC